rnacentral:misc_RNA from 1 species
UGGGCUAGAAACAAAACACCUGAGGCUAUUUUAAAAAUAGAGACAGAAUAUUUUAGCCUUUUAAAAAGAUAAAAAAUUUCAUUUACACAAAAACAAAACAAUUUCAAUAAUUCCUAUAAAAAGAUUCUCAAUUCUAUGUCAGCUCUAUUCUAUGUCAACUCUGAAUGCUUUUAGAAAAUAAAGUUUUAUUAAGGGCAAUAAUUUCCUGUAAGGGAUUAUCAACUCUCCCAAUAUAUCAACUUUUAGCAUCGUGUAACUGGUGGGCCUGGGAGGACUUGAACCUCCGACCUCACGCUUAUCAAGCUCGCGCUCUAAUUUUUUUAUCUACAGGCCCUAUAGGGUAAACCAGAAAACCUUUACCUGUGUAAUGGGGGGCAAAA